UACGUAGGCAGCGAGCGUUGUUCGGAGUUACUGGGCGUAAAGAGCUCGUAGGCGGUUUGUCGCGUCUGCCGUGAAAGUCCGGGGCUCAACUCCGGAUCUGCGGUGGGUACGGGCAGACUAGAGUGAUGUAGGGGAGACUGGAAUUCCUGGUGUAGCGGUGAAAUGCGCAGAUAUCAGGAGGAACACCGAUGGCGAAGGCAGGUCUCUGGGCAUAAACUGACGCUGAGGAGCGAAAGCAUGGGGAGCGAACAGG
rnacentral:rRNA from 1 species